UACGGAGGAUCCGAGCGUUAUCCGGAUUUAUUGGGUUUAAAGGGUGCACAGGCGGGAGAUUAAGUCGGCGGUGAAAUUUUGCAGCUCAACUGUAAAAGUGCCUUCGAAACUGGUUUCCUUGAGUGUGGAUUAAGUAGGCGGAAUUUGUGGUGUAGCGGUGAAAUGCAUAGAUAUCACGAGGAACUCCGAUUGCGCAGGCAGCUUACUAAACCAUAACUGACGCUCAGGCACGAAGGCGUGGGGAUCAAACAGGAUUAGAUACCCGCGUAGU
rnacentral:rRNA from 1 species